rnacentral:rRNA from 1 species
GUAGCGAAAUUCCUUGUCGGGUAAGUUCCGACCUGCACGAAUGGCGUAACGACGGCCACACUGUCUCCACCCGAGACUCAGUGAAAUUGAAAUCGCUGUUAAGAUGCAGUGUACCCGCGGCUAGACGGAAAGACCCCGUGAACCUUUACUAUAGCUUCACACUGGACUUUGACCUUACUUGUGUAGGAUAGGUGGGAGACUUUGAAGCGUGAUCGCUAGAUUGCGUGGAGUCACCCUUGAAAUACCACCCUGGUAAUGUUGAGGUUCUAACUUGGCUCCUGAAACGGGAGUGAGGACAGUGUGUGGUGGGUAGUUUGACUGGGGCGGUCUCCUCCUAAAGAGUAACGGAGGAGCACGAAGGUACCCUAAGGACGGUCGGAAAUCGUCAGUUUAGUGUAAUGGCAUAAGGGUGCUUGACUGCGAGAGUGACAAUUCGAGCAGGUACGAAAGUAGGUCAUAGUGAUCCGGUGGUUCUGAAUGGAAGGGCCAUCGCUCAACGGAUAAAAGGUACUCCGGGGAUAACAGGCUGAUACCGCCCAAGAGUUCACAUCGACGGCGGUGUUUGGCACCUCGAUGUCGGCUCAUCACAUCCUGGGGCUGAAGCCGGUCCCAAGGGUAUGGCUGUUCGCCAUUUAAAGUGGUACGCGAGCUGGGUUUAGAACGUCGUGAGACAGUUCGGUCCCUAUCUGCCGUGGGCGCAGGAGAUUUGAGAAGAGUUGCUCCUAGUACGAGAGGACCGGAGUGAACGAACCUCUGGUGUUCGGGUUGUGUCGCCAGACGCAUUGCCCGGUAGCUACGUUCGGACAGGAUAACCGCUGAAAGCAUCUAAGCGGGAAGCCCCCUUCAAGACGAGAUCUCCCUGAGGACUUGAUCCUCCUAAAGUGCCGUUGAAGACGACGACGUUGAUAGGCUGGGUGUGUAAGUACAGUGAUGUAUUGAGCUAACCAGUACUAAUUGCACGUGAGGCUUGACCAU